AGAGCUGUUUGCCCUAAAGCAAGGAUGAUCAAAGUCUAAUGGGAUGUUUCAAAAUGACUCAAAAGCCAGAAUGAAGACACUCCCAUUGGCUACAAUUUGAACAUCUGAAGGAAUAAUGACUAUAAAGUGAUUGUAAUAAAAUAAACAAAAACCCCGGUUCAUACUGACACUCAAAACUAAAAGAACAGAACAGAAAACAGAAAAAAGAAAUUCAUUUACCACUACUGGAGGCAAAGAUUACAACUCCUUAUUCUGAAAAGAGAAAAAGAGUUAGACAUAAAUUUGCCCCUGUAGAAGGAAUAAAACUCAUCUCCAGUUGAUGGAGAAAAGCUCUUCUUUACAGAUAGAUGCUACCUAACUUUCUUAAAAUAAAUAUUUUUUAAAAUCCCCAAACCUCAAUGACAUAAUUGAUGAAAGCAGCAAUAAUUAAUAGAGAUUAGCAACUUUAGGUAAAAAGCUAAUGGGACUUCUGUUUUUGUUAAAGGUGAAGUAACAGGGAUAAGAUAUAUCCUUCCACCUGACACAACCAAAACACAAGACAAAAUAUGUAACGAUGACAUUCAGCACUGGAUAUGAGAUGACAAAGGACAGCAAUCCCUGAGAGGUGGAAAACAAAUGAGGUAGCCCUCUGAGUGUACCAGCUUAUUGCCCACACAUACAAGGUCAAUUAAUUUUCAACAUAGAUUCAAAAGUAGUACAGUUGAGAAAGAAUAAUUUUUUCAACAUGUUAAUGGAUACAGAAAUGGUAUAUUUGUACAAUGGAAAUUAUUCAGCAAUAAAAAAACAAACUAUUGAUAUACACAGCAACACAGAUGUAUCUCAGAAUAUUUAUACUGAGUGAAAGAAGCCAGACCAAAAAAAGAAUACAUGCUGUAUGGAUUCCAUUGAUAAAAAAUUAUAGAAAAUGCAAACUAUUUUAUACUGGCAAAAACAAGAGGUGUGGUUUCCUUGGGAUGGGAAGCGGGGAAAGGGCAAGAGGAAACAUUUUAGGGGGAUUAUCUUUAUCAUUAUCUUUAUUGUAUUGGUGAUUUUACAGGUACAUUCGUAUUUCAAAGCUUACUAAACUGUCCACUUUAAAUGUGUACAGUUUACUAUAUGGCAAUUAUAUGUCAAUAAAAUUAUUUAAGAAAAGCUAAUGGGAUGUUUGCAUGCUACCAAAGUAUUAUUCUACCCAACAGAUUGAUUAAAGUACCCCUCAGAUUAAUUGUUAAUUGAAAAGAGAAAAAAAUGAAUCUAUGCAAAAGGGAAAUCUGGCUGCCACCAUGAUAACCAACUGAUCAAAUUAAAUAUCACUAAUAGUGGGACAAACUGACAUUAAAUGCCUCUUGAAAUCUUAACACCUAAGUUCAAAUUCGUGGAAAAUACUCGGGAUAGAAGAAUUUAAACAAGAUC
rnacentral:lncRNA from 1 species